AAGUUAUCUGGGCUACACGCGGGCUACAAUGGGUAGGGACAAUGGGUAUCGGACACCGAAAGGUGAAGGCCAAAUCUCCUAAACCCAUCCGUAAGUUCGGAUUGUGGGCUGCAACUCGCCCACAUGAAGCUGGAAUCUGUAGUAAUCGUGUCUCAAAAUGGCACGGUGAAUAUGUCCCUGCUCCUU
rnacentral:rRNA from 1 species